rnacentral:rRNA from 1 species
UACGUAGGUGGCAAGCGUUGUCCGGAGUUAUUGGGCGUAAAGCGCGCGCAGGCGGUUGGAUAAGUCCAUGGUGAAAGCGCCUGGCUCAACUAGGCGAGUGCCGUGGGGACUGUUCAGCUGGAGUGGAGCAGAGGCGAGUGGAAUUCCGGGUGUAGUGGUGAAAUGCGUAGAGAUCCGGAGGAACACCAGAGGCGAAGGCGGCUCGCUGGGCUCUGACUGACGCUGAGGCGCGAAAGCGUGGGGAGCGAACCGG